AGCUCCAAUAGCGUAUAUUAAAGUUGUUGCAGUUAAAAAGCUCGUAGUUGGAUUUCGGAGUGGGCCAGUUGGUCCGCCGCAAGGUGUGUUACUGACUGGUCUGCUCUUCUUCGCAAAGACUGCGUGUGCUCUUUGUUGAGUGUGCGUAGGAUUUACGACGUUUACUUUGAAAAAAUUAGAGUGUUCAAAGCAGGCUAUUGCUUGAAUACAUGAGCAUGGAAUAAUGGAAUAGGACUUUGGUCCCAUUUUGUUGGUUUCUAGGACCGAAGUAAUGAUUAAGAGGGACAAUUGGGGGCAUCCGUAUUUCGUUGUCAGAGGUGAAAUUCUUGGAUUUACGAAAGACGAACAACUGCGAAAGCAUUUGCCAAGAGUGUUUUCAUUAAUCAAGAACGAAAGUAGG
rnacentral:rRNA from 1 species